UUGGUGCCUUCGGGAACUGUGAGACAGGUGCUGCAUGGCUGUCGUCAGCUCGUGUUGUGAAAUGUUGGGUUAAGUCCCGCAACGAGCGCAACCCUUAUCCUUUGUUGCCAGCGGUCCGGCCGGGAACUCAAAGGAGACUGCCAGUGAUAAACUGGAGGAAGGUGGGGAUGACGUCAAGUCAUCAUGGCCCUUACGACCAGGGCUACACACGUGCUACAAUGGCGCAUACAAAGAGAAGCGACCUCGCGAGAGCAAGCGGACCUCAUAAAGUGCGUCGUAGUCCGGAUUGGAGUCUGCAACUCGACUCCAUGAAGUCGGAAUCGCUAGUAAUCGUGAA
rnacentral:rRNA from 1 species